UGGGGAAUUUUGGACAAUGGGCGAAAGCCUGAUCCAGCAAUGCCGCGUGUGUGAAGAAGGCCUUCGGGUUGUAAAGCACUUUUGUCCGGAAAGAAAUCCUUGGCUCUAAUACAGUCGGGGGAUGACGGUACCGGAAGAAUAAGCACCGGCUAACUACGUGCCAGCAGCCGCGGUAAUACGUAGGGUGCAAGCGUUAAUCGGAAUUACUGGGCGUAAAGCGUGCGCAGGCGGUUUGCUAAGACCGAUGUGAAAUCCCCGGGCUCAACCUGGGAACUGCAUUGGUGACUGGCAGGCUAGAGUAUGGCAGAGGGGGGUAGAAUUCCACGUGUAGCAGUGAAAUGCGUAGAGAUGUGGAGGAAUACCGAUGGCGAAGGCAGCCCCCUGGGCCAAUACUGACGCUCAUGCACGAAAGCGUGGGGAGCAAACAGGAUUAGAUACCCUGGUAGUCCACGCCCUAAACGAUGUCAACUAGUUGUUGGGGAUUCAUUCCUUAGUAACGUAGCUAACGCGUGAAGUUGACCGCCUGGGGAGUACGGUCGCAAGAUUAAAACUCAAAUGAAUUGACGGGG
rnacentral:rRNA from 1 species